GUGCCAGCCUCCGCGGUAAUACCGGCAGCCCGAGUGAUGGCCGAUCUUAUUGGGCCUAAAGCGUCCGUAGCUGGCCGCGCAAGUCCAUCGGAAAAUCCACCCGCCCAACGGGCGGCCGUCCGGCGGAACCUGUGUGGCUUGGGACCGGGAGGCCUGAGGGGUACGAUCGGGGUAGGAGUGAAAUCCUGUAAUCCCGCUCGGACCGCCGAUGGGGAAACCACCUCAGGAGAACGGAUCCGACAGUGAGGGACGAAAGCUAGGGUCUCAAACCGGAUUAGAUACCCCGGUAGUCC
rnacentral:rRNA from 1 species